AACUCAAGCUAAUAGACCUCGGCGUAAAGAGUGUUUAAAACUACAACCCAAUAAAGCUGACUCAUAACUAAGUUGUAAAAAACCGCAGUUACGGUAAAAUAUACUACGAAAGUGGCUUUAGCAUCCUGAAUACACUAUAGCUAAGGUACAAACUGGGAUUAGAUACCCCACUAUGCUUAGCCCUAAACACCAAUAGCUCUACCAACAAAACUAUUCGCCAGAACACUACAAGCAACAGCUUGAAAUUCAAAGGACCUGGCGGUGCUUUAUAUCCUUCUAGAGGAGCCUGUUCUAUAAUCGAUAAACCCCGAUAAACCUUACCACCUCUUGCCAU
rnacentral:rRNA from 1 species